GUAAAGCCAGCUCUCCAUACAACCCAGCAGAAUGGUUUCAGCUUUGAUGUUUGCUUGUGAAUCUUAAGGAAGAACCUCAAGCUCUUUGUCUUCAAACUUCUGGUUUCACUGGAGCAAGAGAAGAGAUCAGAAGAGAAAUUCCAUAUUCCUCCAGCAGUGUCUCCCACCUUCUUAGAGGCUACUGUGUGUCUUCACUAGAGGAAAGUCUGCAUCUGAAGACCAGGGGCUUUGUACUAUGGACACCUCAUCAACCAGUGUGACGUGAAAGCUGGAGACCAAGAGAAGGGAAAACCUUUAUCCAAUUAAUGUACACUUCCCUUAAGGUAAGACGCUUCCCUUCCCUGCCUUGUAAAGCCUAUAUUGUG